rnacentral:lncRNA from 1 species
CAGAAGUUGUGGAUGGAGCCCGGCUCUCGUAGGAGUCCGGGUGGAGUCUUCCUUGCGACAGAAAUUAUGGAUGGAGCCCGGCUCCCGUAGGAGUCCGGGCGGAGUCUUCCCAGCAGUAUGAGUCAGGUGUGAAGUCCGACUCCUGUAGGAGUCCGGACGGAGCUUACCAGCAGUUGAAGUCGGUGACGGAGCCCGGCUCCCAUAGGAGUCCGGACGGAGCCUUCCUGCAAUUAAAAUCAAAGACGAGGUUCGGCUCCCGUAGGAGUCCGGACAAGGCUUACCUGCAGUAGAAGUUGGUGA